CUGGUUGAUCCUGCUAGUAGUCAUAUGCUUGUCUCAAUGAUAAAGCCAUGCAUGUGUAUGUAUGAACUAAUUCAGAUUGUGAAUCUGCAUAUGGUUCAUUCAAUCAGCUCUAGAUUGUUUGAUGGUACCAGAUACUCGGAUAACCGCAGUAAUUCUAGAGCUAAUAUGUGCAACAUAGCUCGACCUAUGGAAGGUGUGGAUUUAUUAGAUAAAAGGUCAACGUGGGCUUUGCCCGUUGCUCUAAUGAUUUAUUAUAACUCGACGGAUCGCACGACACUUAUGCCGGCAACACAUCAUUCAAAUUUCUAUCCUGUCAACUUUCGAUGGUAGGAUAGUGGCCUACUAUGGUGGUGACAGGUGACGGAGAAUUAUGGUUCAAUUACAGAGAGGGAGCCGGAGAAAUGUCUACCACAUCCAAGAAAGGCAGCAGGUGCACAAAUGACCCAAUCCUGACACGGAAGGUAGUGACAAUAAAUAACAAUCUUGUGCUUUAUGAGUCUAGUAAUUGGAAUGAGUAAAAUCUAAAUCCCUUAACGAGGAUCCAUUGGAGGGUAAUUUGGUUCCAGCAGCCACGAUAAUUCUUUUUCCAAUAGUGUAUACUUAAGUUGUUGUAGUUAAAAAACUCGUAGUUGGACUUUGGGUUGGGCCAGCCGGUCCACCCUUGGGCGUGUACUAGUCAUCCCGUCUCUUUUAUCGGUGAUGCGCUCCUGGUCUUAAUUGAUCCGGUCGUCCCUCAGGUGUUGUUACUUUGAAGAAUUUAGGGUGCUCAAAGCGAGCCCAAGCUCUGGAUACAUUAGCAUAAGAUAACAUCAUAAGAUUCUGGUCCUAUUGCAUUGGCCUUCGAGAUCAGAGUAAUGAUUAACAGGGACAGUCGGAGGCAUUUUUAUUUCAUAGUCAGAGGAUAAAUUCUUAUAUUUAUGAACGACGACUUACUACAAAAGCAUUUGCCAAGGAUGUUUUCAUUAAUCAAGAACGAAAGUUGGGGGAUCGAAGAUGAUCGAAUACCGUCCUAAUCUCAACCAUAAACGAUGCAAACCAUGGAUUGGCGAAUGUUGCUUAUAGGACUCUGCUGACACUUUAUGAGAAAUCAAAGUUUUUGGGUUCCGGGGGGAGUAUGGUCGCAAGGCUGAAACUUAAAGGAAUCGACGAAAGGGCACCAACAGGAGUGAGCAUGCGGCUUAAUUUGACUGAACACAGGGAGACUUACCAAGUCCAGACAUAGUAAGGAUUGACAAACUGAGAACUCUUUCUUGAUUUAAUGGGUGGUGGUGCAUGGACGUUCUUAGUAGGUGGAGCGAUUUGUCUGGUUAAUUCUGUUAACGAAUGAGACCUCAGCCUGCUGACUACCUAUGUGAAGGUGACCCUCCACGGUCAGCUUCUUAGUGGGACUAUGGCUUCUUAAUGGGUGUUGGUCAACUAAGACAGCAGGACGAUGGUCAUGGAAGUCAAAAUCCGCUAAGGAGUGUCUAACAACUCACUUGUCAAAUCAACUAGCCCCGAAAAUGGGUGGCACUUAUGCGCGUGACCCACACCCAGCCGUUGGGACAAUUGUCAAGCUUUGAUAAGUAGGAGGGCGCGGCGGUAGCUACAAAACCUGGGGCGUGAGCCCAAAUAGAGCUUCUGUCGGUGCAAAUCUUUGUGGUAGUAACAAAUAUUCAAAUGAGAUUUUUGAAGGCUGAAGAGCAGAAAGGCUCCAAGUGAACG
rnacentral:rRNA from 1 species